rnacentral:rRNA from 1 species
CCUACGGGGGACAGCAGUGAGGAAUAUUGGUCAAUGGGCGCGAGCCUGAACCAGCCAAGUCGCGUGAGGGAAGACGGUCCUAUGGAUUGUAAACCUCUUUUGUCGGGGAGCAAAAGACGCCACGCGUGGCGUUCCGAGAGUACCCGAAGAAAAAGCAUCGGCUAACUCCGUGCCAGCAGCCGCGGUAAUACGGAGGAUGCGAGCGUUAUCCGGAUUUAUUGGGUUUAAAGGGUGCGCAGGCGGACGAUCAAGUCAGCGGUAAAAUUGAGAGGCUCAACCUCUUCGAGCCGUUGAAACUGGUUGUCUUGAGUGGGUGAGAGGUAUGCGGAAUGCGUGGUGUAGCGGUGAAAUGCAUAGAUAUCACGCAGAACUCCGAUUGCGAAGGCAGCAUACCGGCGCUCAACUGACGCUCAUGCACGAAAGUGUGGGUAUCGAACAGGAUUAGAUACCCCUGUAGUC